GUGGGGAAUCUUCCGCAAUGGACGAAAGUCUGACGGAGCAACGCCGCGUGAGUGAUGAAGGUCUUCGGAUUGUAAAGCUCUGUUAAUCGGGACGAAAGAGCCUAGUGUGAAUAAUGCUAGGAAGUGACGGUACCGGAAUAGAAAGCCACGGCUAACUACGUGCCAGCAGCCGCGGUAAUACGUAGGUGGCAAGCGUUGUCCGGAAUUAUUGGGCGUAAAGCGCGCGCAGGCGGAUCUGCCAGUCUGUCUUAAAAGUUCGGGGCUUAACCCCGUGAUGGGAUGGAAACUACAGAUCUAGAGUAUCGGAGAGGAAAGUGGAAUUCCUAGUGUAGCGGUGAAAUGCGUAGAUAUUAGGAAGAACACCAGUGGCGAAGGCGACUUUCUGGACGAAAACUGACGCUGAGGCGCGAAAGCCAGGGGAGCGAACGGGAUUAGAUACCCUAGUAGUCC
rnacentral:rRNA from 1 species